rnacentral:rRNA from 1 species
GUGGGGAAUAUUGGACAAUGGGCGAAAGCCUGAUCCAGCCAUGCCGCGUGUGUGAAGAAGGUCUUCGGAUUGUAAAGCACUUUAAGUUGGGAGGAAGGGCAGUAAGUUAAUACCUUGCUGUUUUGACGUUACCGACAGAAUAAGCACCGGCUAACUUCGUGCCAGCAGCCGCGGUAAUACGAAGGGUGCAAGCGUUAAUCGGAAUUACUGGGCGUAAAUCGCGCGUAGGCGGAUUUGUAAGUUGGAGGUGAAAUCCCCGGGCUCAACCUGUGAACUGCCUCCAAAACUGCAUGACUAGAGUACGGUAGAGGGUAGUGGAAUUUCCUGUGUAGCGGUGAAAUGCGUAGAUAUAGGAAGGAACACCAGUGGCGAAGGCGACUACCUGGACUGAUACUGACACUGAGGUGCGAAAGCGUGGGGAGCAAACAGGAUUAGAUACCCCUGUAGUCC